rnacentral:rRNA from 1 species
GUACGGAUUGUGAUUUGGAUUUUUGUGGGAGCGGCGGACGGGUGAGUAAUAGGUUGGAACCUGCCUUGUACUCAGGGAUAACUAUCCGAAAGGAUAGCUAAUACCGGAUAGUCCCGAAAGGGUAAAGAUUUAUCGGUACAAGAGGGGCCUACCCCCUAUCAGCUUGUUGGUGAGGUAAUAGCUCACCAAGGCAAUGACGGGUAGCUGGUCUGAGAGGAUGAUC